rnacentral:rRNA from 1 species
UACGAAGGGGGCUAGCGUUGCUCGGAAUUACUGGGCGUAAAGGGAGCGUAGGCGGAUAGUUCAGUCAGAGGUGAAAGCCCCAGGGCUCAACCUUGGAAUUGCCUUUGAUACUGGCUGUCUUGAGUAUGGGAGAGGUUAGCGGAACUCCGAGUGUAGAGGUGAAAUUGUAGAUAUUACGGAAGAACACCAGUGGCGAAGGCG